rnacentral:lncRNA from 1 species
GGACUUAUGUAUCACAGGCUGGCCUCAAACUCUAUCUCAGUGGAAGAGAAUAUGACCCUAUGCUCAGUCUCAUUAGUUCCUAAUGGGAUGUGACAAAGCAUUUGCAAUGUGUGGUCAGAGUUCCUUCCUGUAGUAAAUGCUAACAGUUACCACACAGCUGCUUGUGUAAACUAUAGAAGAGAGAGACCGGAGUUCGGCAGACCAGCCAAAAAGCCCUGGAUGCCUCCUGAUGACCUACAUCUGCCCUCUGCCUGGAGCCAAUAAUGCAAGCACUUGGUAGACAGUAUUUUCAUCACGAAGCAUGUAGAGAAAAAAGAUUUCACAACUUCCUAGAGCACAUCCAAGCUCCCACUGUGUCCUCUGGCGCCGUGGAUAAAUCCCUCUUAUUCAUCUGACUUCAGCCUAUGCUCCUCAGAG